UUUAACCAUAUCACGUCACCAAGAUAUAAUAAGAUUUUUAAAACUUUUGGUUGAAUAUUAGAUUUUAAAUUUUUUAAAUUAUAUAUUGUUUUGAAUUUUUAGAUUUUUUAGAAAAAAAAAUAUUUUCAAUUUAAAUUUUUUGGUAUUUUGAAAGUUUCUUUAAUUUAUUUUUUUUCUUUUAAGUUUUAAGUUUUAAAAUUUCCUGAUAUUUUUCAAAUUUUAGUCAAUUUUUACAAUUCAUUUUGAAUUUUAUCUAAUAUUUAUUUGUUAUUUUAUUUUUAUUAAUUUAAAUAAUUAAAUAUAUAUAUAUAUAUAUAUAUAUAUAUAUAUAUAUAUCUCCACAUCAUUUUUUUACCAUCUAAUGAACAGUACCAUUCACAAUUUUAAGGUGCCAAACAAGUAUGUUAG
rnacentral:lncRNA from 1 species